rnacentral:lncRNA from 1 species
AUGCAUGCUGGGCUAUAAUUUAUGAAACGGAGCACAGGAAACAACCAAUCGCUCAGCUUCUCCUAACAAGUCCAACUGGCUAGGAAAAGCUGGAAGUGCUGCACAGAACAAUGAAGAGGAUCUAUCCCACAUAUUAAUCUGCUUAUCUAGGAUUGCCUUCUGUGUAGAGAGAAGGAAGCAUGUAAAAAGAGAGCAAAAAAAAAAAAAAGAAAAAUCACCGUUUCAUUGUUAACAGAAUAAAUUCCAGUCAACAUGAAAAUCCUCCAUUGCAGUCAGAUGGC